GAUGAACGCUGGCGGCGUGCCUAAUACAUGCAAGUCGAGCGAAUGGAUUAAGAGCUUGCUCUUAUGAAGUUAGCGGCGGACGGGUGAGUAACACGUGGGUAACCUGCCCAUAAGACUGGGAUAACUCCGGGAAACCGGGGCUAAUACCGGAUAACAUUUUGAACCGCAUGGGUCGAAAUUGAAAGGCGGCUUCGGCUGUCACUUAUGGAUGGACCCGCGUCGGAUUAGGUAGUUGGUGAGGUAACGGCUCACCAAGGCAACGAUGCGUAGCCGACCUGAGAGGGUGAUCGGCCACACUGGGACUGAGACACGGCCCAGACUCCUACGGGAGGCAGCAGUAGGGAAUCUUCCGCAAUGGACGAAAGUCCGACGGAGCAACGCCGCGUGAGUGAUGAAGGCUUUCGGGUCGUAAAACUCUGUUGUUAGGGAAGAACAAGUGCUAGUUGAAUAAGCUGGCACCUUGACGGUACCUAACCAGAAAGCCACGGCUAACUACGUGCCAGCAGCCGCGGUAA
rnacentral:rRNA from 1 species